rnacentral:lncRNA from 1 species
UCUCCCACUUGAAGACAUGUGCCAAACUCAAAAGAGCAUCGUCCCUGGAGGCCUUGCCAACCUUUCACUCCUUAUAUAGCUCCAAGAUCGAGAGAAACUUUGCUCCAAUUGAACUUUUUUCGAGUCACUGGCUUUGUCAACACAUCCGCUGGAUUUGCAUCAGUAUAAAUUUUCAGCAAUGAGACUAGACCAUCAUCAACCAC